rnacentral:lncRNA from 1 species
UAUUUUCUUAUGGAUUUUCCUAUUUGCUUAAAUGCUAUUCAAGAUUAUUUUGUUGGCAUUCAGUUGGCUUCUUAUGAAGUAACAAUGUCAAAUAAUCAAUAAAAUGUUUUGCGUUGAAGAAGCUGUAGCUUAUUUGAGACAUAACAUCAUCUUCUGCAGCUGUUUGAUCGUACGGGAUUACUAUAUGGGGAGUUAGCCAGAUUUGUGUUGAGACUACUAGGAGUCAAAACAAAACCAAGGAAAAUCAAUCCUGUGGGACCUGAUGGUCACCCUCUCCUGGGUCCCCAUAACCCUCAUGGCAAUCAGAAUUAUAUCGAGGGGCCUAAGGGUGGACCGACCGGUGCAUGGGAUAAUGUAUGGGGUGGAGAUGCCAGCGGCUAGUUUGGUAUCAUAUGGUGUCUGUCCGUCAUCAGCUGGAAAACGUGAAGAAGUUGAAAACCAUGGAUGCAGGAGUGCAAUUGGAGCAGUGUUGCUCAAUACUAC